GUCCGCAACAACAGCCCGCAGGAGUUGUGCACGCCCCAAAGCGUCUUCCUGCAGUGUGUGCCCUGGCGCAAGCCCAACGGCGACUUCUGCAGCAGCCAUCAGGAGUGUCACAGCCAGUGCUGCAUCCAGCUGAGGGAGUACAGCCCCUUCCGCUGCAUUCCCCGGACCGGGAUCCUGGCCCAGUGCCUGCCCCUGUGAUGUGAGCUCGAACCUGGGCGCGAGGGACCGGCCUGGGCCCUGGGAUGUUCACGCAGGACCGCGUUGCGCGGGGGCUGGUUCCAGCGGAAGCUUCCCUUACGGUUUGUGCUGCUGUUUCUGGGGCUCUGAAAAUCUGUGGGAACUGAAAGGCUGUGACCAGCCUGGUGGCGCGAAGUGUCUGUGAGAACAAAUCCCAGGCACUGGGGUGUAGCCUGAUUGUUAAACAUCAAUAAAGGCUCCUGGCCGACUGAG
rnacentral:lncRNA from 1 species